rnacentral:lncRNA from 10 species
CAGCAUAUACAAAAAUCAAAUGGAUUAAAGACUUGAAUGUAAAAUCUGAAACCGUAAAACUCCUAGGAGAAAAAAUAGGGGAAAAGCUCUUUGACAUUGGUCUGGGCGAUGAUUUCUUGGAUAUGACACCAAAAGCACAGGCAACAAAAGCAAAAAUUAAAAAGCGGGACUACAUCAAACUAAAAAUCUGCACAGCAAAGAAAACAAUCAACAAAGUGAGAAGCCAAUCUACUGAACGGGAGAAAAUAUUUUAAAACCACCUAGCCAAUAAAGGGAGUUACCUUUCAUGGAAGGGUAAGCAGGAAGCAACUACAAGAUCAUCAUUUCAAAACAAUAUGAAAGCAGAAUGGGAAAUGCCAUGGCAUGCUCCCUCUUUUCAGGCAAUAUGGACACUUUGGGGAAGUUAUGAAGCGUCUCCCAUUCCCGCUUGAGGUACUCAAUAGAGCCCACAAACACAAUGUGCUUGAGCUCAUGGUAAUGAAAGUUGCUGGCACGGAGCGGCAUCACCAGGUUCCGGAGGCCGAUCAGGGCUGAGCUGACGUCGCCAAAGAUGCAGACCACGACAUGGCCACUCAGGACGGUCAUGGCAGCUUCACU